rnacentral:tRNA from 2 species
GCGCCCGUAGCUCAGCUGGAUAGAGCGUCAGGCUUCGAACCUGAGGGUCGCCCGUUCGAGUCGGGCCGGGCGCGCUA